rnacentral:rRNA from 1 species
AUUGAACGCUGGCGGCAUGCUUUACACAUGCAAGUCGAACGGCAGCGCGGGCUUCGGCCUGGCGGCGAGUGGCGAACGGGUGAGUAAUACAUCGGAACGUGCCCAGUAGUGGGGGAUAGCUCGGCGAAAGCCGGAUUAAUACCGCAUACGACCUGAGGGUGAAAGCGGGGGAUCUUCGGACCUCGCGCUAUUGGAGCGGCCGAUGGCAGAUUAGCUAGUUGGUGGGGUAAAGGCCUACCAAGGCGACGAUCUGUAGCUGGUCUGAGAGGACGACCAGCCACACUGGGACUGAGACACGGCCCAGACUCCUACGGGAGGCAGCAGUGGGGAAUUUUGGACAGUGGGCGAAAGCCUGAUCCAGCAAUGCCGCGUGUGUGAUGAAGGCCUUCGGGUUGUAAAGCACUUUUGGCGGGAACGAAAAGGACUGUGCCAAUACCACGGUUCGAUGACGGUACCCGCAGAAUAAGCACCGGCUAACUACGUG